rnacentral:rRNA from 1 species
UGGCGGCAGCUUACACAUGCAGUCGAGCGGAGUGAUGGUGCUUGCACUAUCACUUAGCGGCGGACGGGUGAGUAAUGCUUAGGAAUCUGCCUAUUAGUGGGGGACAACAUUUCGAAAGGAAUGCUAAUACCGCAUACGUCCUACGGGAGAAAGCAGGGGAUCUUCGGACCUUGCGCUAAUAGAUGAGCCUAAGUCGGAUUAGCUAGUUGGUGGGGUAAAGGCCUACCAAGGCGACGAUCUGUAGCGGGUCUGAGAGGAUGAUCCGCCACACUGGGACUGAGACACGGCCCAGACUCCUACGGGAGGCAGCAGUGGGGAAUAUUGGACAAUGGGCGAAAGCCUGAUCCAGCCAUGCCGCGUGUGUGAAGAAGGCCUUAUGGUUGUAAAGCACUUUAAGCGAGGAGGAGGCUACUGAAGUUAAUACCUUCAGAUAGUGGACGUUACUCGCAGAAUAAGCACCGGCUAACUCUGUGCCAGCAGCCGCGGUAAUACAGAGGGUGCAAGCGUUAAUCGGAUUUACUGGGCGUAAAGCGCGCGUAGGCGGCUAAUUAAGUCAAAUGUGAAAUCCCCGAGCUUAACUUGGGAAUUGCAUUCGAUACUGGUUAGCUAGAGUGUGGGAGAGGAUGGUAGAAUUCCAGGUGUAGCGGUGAAAUGCGUAGAGAUCUGGAGGAAUACCGAUGGCGAAGGCAGCCAUCUGGCCUAACACUGACGCUGAGGUGCGAAAGCAUGGGGAGCAAACAGGAUUAGAUACCCUGGUAGUCCAUGCCGUAAACGAUGUCUACUAGCCGUUGGGGCCUUUGAGGCUUUAGUGGCGCAGCUAACGCGAUAAGUAGACCGCCUGGGGAGUACGGUCGCAAGACUAAAACUCAAAUGAAUUGACGGGGGCCCGCACAAGCGGUGGAGCAUGUGGUUUAAUUCGAUGCAACGCGAAGAACCUUACCUGGCCUUGACAUAGUAAGAACUUUCCAGAGAUGGAUUGGUGCCUUCGGGAACUUACAUACAGGUGCUGCAUGGCUGUCGUCAGCUCGUGUCGUGAGAUGUUGGGUUAAGUCCCGCAACGAGCGCAACCCUUUUCCUUAUUUGCCAGCGAGUAAUGUCGGGAACUUUAAGGAUACUGCCAGUGACAAACUGGAGGAAGGCGGGGACGACGUCAAGUCAUCAUGGGCCCUUACGG